AUAUUGUGGUUCCCAGUGAAAGUCGAUCGAAUACCGAUGAAAACUUAUAAUUUAGGCGCCAUACAUCUAAGAUUGUUCUUGUAGUUGUUGGUGUUGUUGUUCAGCUCCAGGCCGACUCAGAAGACGCAGACCUAUGAACAAAGACUUUCAAGCUGAUUGGAAACAAUCCGAUUAUGUCUUCUCGACAUAUUGUAUUCUGGUCUACUUUAUUCAAUGCGAACUUCCUUUUGUAAGACGACACGUUGAUGGAACACUGGCUAGUAUUUUUAACUCGACCUGUGACUACACUGAAGAAAUGUCGUUUUGUUCAACUCAGGGAUUACAUCCUCUAUAUAUUCAUGUUGAUUUAAAAUUUGGCAAACUUUUAAUGUGAAUAAAUAAAUAAAAAA